rnacentral:rRNA from 1 species
GUGGGGAAUAUUGCACAAUGGGGGAAACCCUGAUGCAGCGACGCCGCGUGAGCGAAGAAGUAUUUCGGUAUGUAAAGCUCUAUCAGCAGGGAAGAAAUUGACGGUACCUGAGUAAGAAGCUCCGGCUAAAUACGUGCCAGCAGCCGCGGUAAUACGUAUGGAGCAAGCGUUAUCCGGAUUUACUGGGUGUAAAGGGAGCGUAGGCGGCCUGCCAAGUCUGAUGUGAAAUACCGGGGCUCAACCCCGGGGCUGCAUUGGAAACUGGCAGGCUGGAGUGUCGGAGAGGCAGGCGGAAUUCCUAGUGUAGCGGUGAAAUGCGUAGAUAUUAGGAGGAACACCAGUGGCGAAGGCGGCCUGCUGGACGAUGACUGACGCUGAGGCUCGAAAGCGUGGGGAGCAAACAGG